rnacentral:rRNA from 1 species
AACGAACGCUGGCGGCAGGCUUAACACAUGCAAGUCGAACGCCCCGCAAGGGGAGUGGCAGACGGGUGAGUAACGCGUGGGAACAUACCCUUUCCUGCGGAAUAGCUCCGGGAAACUGGAAUUAAUACCGCAUACGCCCUACGGGGGAAAGAUUUAUCGGGGAAGGAUUGGCCCGCGUUGGAUUAGCUAGUUGGUGGGGUAAAGGCCUACCAAGGCGACGAUCCAUAGCUGGUCUGAGAGGACGAUCAGCCACAUUGGGACUGAGACACGGCCCAAACUCCUACGGGAGGCAGCAGUGGGGAAUAUUGGACAAUGGGCGCAAGCCUGAUCCAGCCAUGCCGCGUGAGUGAUGAAGGCCUUAGGGUUGUAAAGCUCUUUCACCGAUGAAGAUAAUGACGGUAGUCGGAGAAGAAGCCCCGGCUAACUUCGUG